GGGUGCACUUAAUGUGACAGCGGUGAAUUACGGGUGAACAGACAUAGCGCAAAUUCCAGUUUUUGUUUACGUUUUGAUCAGAACGUGUACUAUUGACUCCGUCCUGAAGGGGUUAAAGAAUCCCUCUGUUACAACAGUAUAUUAACUUAACCAAAACCAGAUUUUAAAUAUCAGCCUCCUAAGGAUAACAUACAGAGGAUAAUCCUCCAAUAGUCACACUUCACUUUAAUUGCUGACCCUGUUGCAGCAAUUAGUGAUUAUUGAAAACCAUAUUAGCUAAUCACUGUGUAGCAGCUAUUUUGAGCCAGAAAGGAAACUUAAAAUUUCCAAAUAGCAUAUACUUUUACAUAAUUCUAUCUAAUACCCUUUAUAGGCUUUACUCAAAGAAUAAUCUAUUUUGGGCCCGAUCUACUAAGUGCUUACCCUUCCAAAGCACUUUGUUUUAAGGUUUUGGUAAUAAUCUUUAAGUGAUGAGAAGCUAAAAACUCUCCAACUUAGAAACAUUUGCACUUUUUUAGCUUAUCCACCUUGCAGCACAGAUAAUUAACUUAUUCAGGCUAGAGUCAUUUAAGAUAAAGCAAAAAGGCUUA